GGGGGUGACUUGGUUUCGACUGGAGUAGUCGGGGCUAUGUGCAUGUCGGACUGAGCAAUUCCGUUACGCGGCUCAUUUAGCUUAAACGCAAACAAUACAGAUUACCGUCCAGCUUACGCAGUAGCGUAAGUCCUAACCCCGGUUCGCCGGAGGACUGCCUCUCUAGUGAGUGUCAUCUUAACUAGAUUUUGAGGUAUCAUAUCUGAUGACUAUAUCUACCGGCUGCCGAACCGAUAGACGAAUCCUAAGGCUGGUCUUGUAUAGUUUUGGGUGUAGUACGAAGCAAGAUAAGAUUUAUCAACACCAUCUAAACAUGUAGAGUCAUAGUUCUAUCUAUUUUAGGACACGGGUUCAAUUCCCGUCGCCUCCACCA
rnacentral:tmRNA from 1 species